GAGGGUGGGGGCUGCGGCGGGCGGCCCGGCGGCCUCCUCGCGCGACCCCCAAGCCCCGAGCCCGGCCCCUCGGCCGGAGCCCGCCAGUGGAAUGUAGACGUUUCUGUCCUUUGGAUUGACAUGGGAGAUGUGAAACUGUGUUCUCCUGAUUUCUGCAGCAGAGCAUUGUGUCCCCGUGACCUGUGCAAUUCUCGAUAGUGCCACAAAAGAGGAAGGAGAGAAGGAACAAGGACAGGAAUCCAGUGACAAGUUCCUAAACAAGCCUUAACCUGUACCAAAAUUAUCAGAUGACAACCAGUUUUGACUGUCUAAUGUAGUAGGUGAUACGGCAUUCUCUAUCGUCUGGGUCAUAUGGGGGUCAGUUAAUGCCACGUCAAAGAGAAUUCUGUAGAACUCUGUUGUCUUCACACAAACCAUGACCCUCAUGGUUGUCAGGUCUUUCAGAUGCAGACUCAUGCUUUCAGGGGGAAAGCUAACCCUGUCAAACCGUGUGUCCUUGCGCUGUACUCAUUUAAUGACCUCGCCCUUUGUUGCGGCAUGCAGGAUCUAGUUCCCGGACCAGGGAUCGAACCCGGGCCCCUGCAUUGGGAGCACAGAGUCUUAACCACUGGGCCACCAGUUUUCAAAAUCCCAGCAGGAUGUUGAGAAAUCAACCAACUGACAAAUGCAAAGGACAAGACUAUCCAAGGUAAACGAACAACACCAAAACUGAAAAUAUUUCACCAACAGAUAUUAAGACCUGUUAUAAAGCUAUAGUUAUAAUUAUGACUGUAAAGUUGGUUGGCAUAAGGAUAGAUAAAUAGACCAAUGUAACAGAAAGCCUAGGCACAAAUCCAAAAAUAUAGAUGAUCUGAUUUAUGACCAGGGGACAUCACUGCAAUGGGUGAAAAGAUGGUCUUUUCAAUAAAUAGUGCAGAGUGAGAUAUCCAUACGAGAAAAAAAAAAUUAUCUAGACCCCUUCCAGACACAAGGCAGAAAAAUCAGUCCCAUAUGGAAUAUAGUCUAAAUGUAAAAGGAGAAAUAAAGAAAACAUAGGAGAAUAUCUUAAUGAUUUUGGGGCAGGCAACAAUUAAAGCACAUAGAAUCAUAAAGGUAAAAAGGUUUUAAGCUAAUCUAUGGUGAUAGGAUCAGAUAGAGGUUACCACUACCCUGGCACAAAAAUUUUUUUUUCAAUAAAAAAGACAAUAUAAAAGAAAUGAUAUGAGUAAGGAUAUAGUUAAGAUUUUUUAAAUGACAAAACUUGUGAAUUUAUGUGGAUAAAUUUGAAAUUUUAGUUAUUUUUUAAAUGAGGAUAUUGUGUGUAUAUAAAAUAACACUAAAUCUGAAUCUUUUUAAAAAUCUACUCCCGAGUAAUCCACCAGAUCUAAAUGGCUUAUGAUGUGGUCUGUUAAACCUUCAAAAGAAACAAUCUUUAUAAAUAUUGCAAUAGAGAAUUUUUAGAAAGGGGGAAGGAUGGGGGAAGCUCAGCUAUGAUACUGAAGUCACAUAGGAUAUGUGAGGGAAAAAAUACUAUACUUCAGUCUCUUAUGAACAUGGCUGAACUAGCCUGAAUAUUAGCAUUUCAAAUUCACCAAUUAAAAUUCACUCAUUGUGACAAAGUAAAAUUUAUUGCCAAAAUGGGAGAAUGGUAUGCAUUGGAAGAUCUUUUCAUAUAAUAUGCCGCAUUAAUAGAUUAAAGAGAAAAAACAUAUUAUCAUCUCAGUGAAUGCAGGAGGAAACAACAAAGUGCAACACUCAUUUUAAAAAUCAACCAAAUGAAACAGCCUCUUGGUAGAUUAUGAAUAGACAGAAGCUGCCUUAGUAUGAUAAACGAUAACUAAAAACCCUGUUUAACAUGACGAGUUAAUGGUAUAACUUUAGAGAUGUUCCUUUAAAGUCAGCAAUAGGACAAGGAUGGCUAUUGUGCAUCUGUUUCACAUUGCACUGAGAUCUUGGCCAGUACAGUAAGAUUAAAAGAAGAAAUAGUCAUAUGGAUUGGAAAGUAAGAAACAAUUACUGUUAGUGGGCAAGAAAAUUAUUUGAAAGUUCAAGGGAAAUUACAAAGUAUUAUAACUAAUAUGAAAGUUGAGGGUUUGGGAAUGGAAUAUAAGAUCAAUAUGCAAGAAUUAGUAGUGCUCCUUUCCACUCAAAACAGUCUAUUUAGGGACUUCCCUGGUGGCGCAGUGGUUAAGAAUCCUCCUACCAGUGCAGGGGACACGGGUUUCAGCCCUGGUCUGGGAAGAUCCCACAUACCCUGGAGCAACUAAGCCCGCGCGUCACAGCUACUGAGCCUGCGCUCUAAAGCCCGCGAGACACAACUUUCUUUUCAUUACUUUAGUAAAAUUGAAAUUACACAUUGCUUAUAACAACAGUUCCACAUGUAAGUCUUUUUACAACACUAAAGUUCUGCAUCAUACUUAGGUUUAGAAAUUAUUGAACACUUGAAGCUUGUUACAGACGUUUGUAGCAGGGAAAUAGAAGAUUGAAGUGCUUUUUCCAAAAUCUGGGAAGUCACACUGAUGUUUUCAUUGAUUUUUUUUUAAAAAAAG